GGCUCAUUAAAUCAGUUAUCGUUUAUUUGAUAGUACCUUACUACUUGGAUAACCGUGGUAAUUCUAGAGCUAAUACAUGCUAAAAACCCCAACUUCGGGAGGGGUGUAUUUAUUAGAUAAAAAACCAACGCCCUUCGGGGCUCCUUGGUGAUUCAUAAUAACUUAACGGAUCGCAUGGCCUUGCGCCGGCGACGGUUCAUUCAAAUUUCUGCCCUAUCAACUUUCGAUUGUAGGGUAUUGGCCUACAAUGGUUUCAACGGGUAACGGGGAAUUAGGGUUCGAUUCCGGAGAGGGAGCCUGAGAAACGGCUACCACAUCCAAGGAAGGCAGCAGGCGCGCAAAUUACCCAAUCCCGACACGGGGAGGUAGUGACAAUAAAUACUGAUACAGGGCUCUUUUGGGUCUUGUAAUUGGAAUGAGUACAAUUUAAACCCCUUAACGAGGAACAAUUGGAGGGCAAGUCUGGUGCCAGCAGCCGCGGUAAUUCCAGCUCCAAUAGCGUAUAUUAAAGUUGUUGCAGUUAAAAAGCUCGUAGUUGAACCUUGGGCCUGGCUGGCCGGUCCGCCUCACCGCGUGCACUGGUCCGGCCGGGCCUUUCCUUCUGGAGAGCCGCAUGCCCUUCACUGGGUGUGUCGGGGAACCAGGACUUUUACUUUGAAAAAAUUAGAGUGUUCAAAGCAGGCCUUUGCUCGAAUACGUUAGCAUGGAAUAAUAGAAUAGGACGUGCGGUCCUAUUUUGUUGGUUUCUAGGACCGCCGUAAUGAUUAAUAGGGAUAGUCGGGGGCAUCAGUAUUCAAUUGUCAGAGGUGAAAUUCUUGGAUUUAUUGAAGACUAACUACUGCGAAAGCAUUUGCCAAGGAUGUUUUCAUUAAUCAGUGAACGAAAGUUAGGGGAUCGAAGACGAUCAGAUACCGUCGUAGUCUUAACCGUAAACUAUGCCGACUAGGGAUCGGGCGAUGUUAUUAUUUUGACUCG
rnacentral:rRNA from 1 species